rnacentral:rRNA from 1 species
UACGGGGGGGGCAAGCGUUGUUCGGAAUUACUGGGCGUAAAGGGCUCGUAGGCGGCCAACUAAGUCGGAUGUGAAAUCCCCAGGCUUAACCUGGGAACUGCAUCCGAUACUGGAUGGCUUGAAUCCGGGAGAGGGAUGCAGAAUUCCAGGUGUAGCGGUGAAAUGCGUAGAUAUCAUGAGGAAUACCAGAGGCGAAGGCGGCUCCCUGGACAAUUGCUGACACUCAGGCACGAAAGCGUGGGGAGCAAAAGGG